ensembl:lncRNA
CUCAGCCACGUUUCUCUGCCUCUUCUGUGUAAUGGAAUCUCUACUUAGUUUAGGGGAAAAUGCCCUCUGAAAGACGGGACUGCUGAAGCCGGGUCAAUAGGUCAUGAUCAGAGAUGUUAAAAGGAUCCGCUAAGAUCAUGUAGCAAACUAAAGACGAGAAAGCCAACGGCAGACCGCUUUCCAGCCCAGCUCUCAUCGUGGCUCCCAGCAUCCAAACACACCAAGCAAGAUGCCCAAAGGAAAGAAGGCCCAGGGGAAGAAAGUGGUCCCGGCCCCUGCCAUGGUCAAGAAACAGGAGGCCAAAAAGGCGGUCAGUUCUUUGAGAAAAGGCCCAAGAACUUCGGCAUUGGGUAGGACACCCAGCCCAAAAGAGAUCUCACAUGUUUGUUCAAAUGGCCCCCCUACAUCAGGCUGCAGCAGCAAAGAUCCAUCCUCUAUAAGCGACUCAUACAGUACCUCCUGCUAUCAGUCAGUUUCCCCAGGCCCUGGAGAGGCAAACAGCGACUCAGUUGCUUAAGCUUGUCCACAAGUACAGGCCAGAGACAAAGCAGGAGAAGAAGCUGGCCCGCACUGAGAAGAAAGCUGCUGGCAAAGGGGACGUCCCAACUAAGAGAUCACCUGUCCUUAGGUCAAAACAGUCACCACCUUGGUGGAGAAGAAGAAGGCUCAACUGGUGGUGAUUGCCGGUGAUGUAGACCCCAUUGAGCUGGUGGUUUUCCUGCCUGCCCUGUGUCGAAGGAUGGGAGUGCCCUACUGCAUCAUCAAGGGAAAGGCCAGACUGGACGCCUGGUCCACAGGAAGACGUGCACCACUGUUGCCUUCACACAGCUCAACUCGGAAGACAAGGGUGCUCUGGAUAGGCUGGUGGAAGCUAUUAGGACCAAUUAUAAUGACAGAUAUGGCGAGAUCUGCCGCCACUGGGGAGGCAACGUCCUGGGUCCUAAGUCUGUGGCUCGCAUUGCCAAGCUGGAAAAGGCGAAGGCUAGAGAACUCGCCAUUAAACUGGGUUAAAUGUACACUUAAGUUUUCUGUACAUAAAUAUAAUUACAAAAUUAAAAAAAUAAUUGCAGCUCUUGCAGAUAUGGGAUCAAUAUUAAAGUUUUUGUAAUUACAA